AUACGGAGGGUGCAAGCGUUACUCGGAGUCACUGGGCGUAAAGCGCGCGCAGGCGGUUUGAUAAGUUGGAUGUGAAAUCCUAUGGCUCAACCAUAGAACUGCAUCCAAAACUGUCAAACUAGAGUCUGUGAGAGGAAGAUGGAAUUAGUUGUGUAGGGGUAAAAUCCGUAGAGAUAACUAGGAAUACCAAAAGCGAAGGCGAUCUUCUGGAACAGUACUGACGCUGAGGCGCGAAAGCGUGGGGAGCAAACAGAAUUAGAUACCCCAGUAGUCC
rnacentral:rRNA from 1 species